rnacentral:rRNA from 1 species
UACGUAGGGGGCAAGCGUUGUCCGGAAUCAUUGGGCGUAAAGCGCGUGUAGGCGGCUCGGUAAGUCUGCUGUGAAAGUCCAGGGCUCAACCCUGGAAUGCCGGUGGAAACUGUCGGGCUAGAGUCCGGAAGAGGCGAGUGGAAUUCCUGGUGUAGCGGUGAAAUGCGCAGAUAUCGUGAGGAAGACCAGUGGCGAAGGCGGGUCUCUGGACAGUUCCUGACACUGAGGCACGAAGGCCAGGGGAGCAAACGGG